rnacentral:rRNA from 15 species
AGUGACUAAGCGUAUACGGUGGAUGCCUUGGCAGUUAGAGGCGAUGAAGGACGUGUAAGUCUGCGAAAAGCUGUGGUGAGCCGACAAAAUGCAUUUGAGCCACAGAUGUCCGAAUGGGGAAACCCACCUGUUUACAGGUAUCGUUACAUGAAUACAUAGUGUAACGAGGCGAACGAGGGGAACUGAAACAUCUAACUAC